AUUGAACGCUGGCGGCAUGCCUAACACAUGCAAGUCGAGCGAGCGGCGGACGGGUGUGUAAUGUCUGGGAAAAUGCCUGCUGGAGGGGGGUAAAUCCUGUCGACGGUGUCGAAUACCGCAUACCCUCUGAUGUGCCCAGAUGGGAGUAGCUAGUGGGGGGGGUAACGGCUCACCAAGGCGACGAUACCUAGCUGGUCUGAGAGGGGGACCAGCCACACUGGAACUGAGACACGGCCCAGACUCCUACGGGAGGCAGCAGUGGGGAAUAUUGCACAAUGGGCGCAAGCCUGAUGCAGCCAUGCCGCGUGUAUGAAGAAGGCCUUCGGGUUGUAAAGCACUUUUGGCGGGGAGGCGUUACCUGCAGAAGAAGCACCGGCUAACUACGUGCCAGCAGCCGCGGUAAUAC
rnacentral:rRNA from 1 species